rnacentral:rRNA from 1 species
UACGGGGGGGGCAAGCGUUGUUCGGAUUUACUGGGCGUAAAGGGCGCGUAGGCGGCCAGCGCAAGUCAGUUGUGAAAUCUCCGGGCUUAACUCGGAAAGGUCAACUGAUACUGCGCGGCUAGAGUGCAGAAGGGGCAACUGGAAUUCUCGGUGUAGCGGUGAAAUGCGUAGAUAUCGAGAGGAACACCUGCGGCGAAGGCGGGUUGCUGGGCUGACACUGACGCUGAUGCGCGAAAGCCAGGGGAGCGAACGGG